rnacentral:rRNA from 1 species
CCUACGGGUGGCAGCAGUGAGGAAUAUUGGUCAAUGGCCGAGAGGCUGAACCAGCCAAGUCGCGUGAAGGAAGACGGCCCUACGGGUUGUAAACCUCUUUUAUCGGGGAGCAAAGCGAACCACGUGUGGGUCAUUGAGAGUACCCUAAGAAAAAGCAUCGGCUAACUCCGUGCCAGUAGCCGCGGUAAUACGGAGGAUGCGAGCGUUAUCCGGAUUUAUUGGGUUUAAAGGGUGCGUAGGCGGACUGUUAAGUCAGCGGUAAAAGCCCGGGGCUAAACCCCGGGGAGCCGUUGAAACUGGGUGUCUGGAGAUGUGGAGAGGUAGGCGGAAUGCGCAGUGUAGCGGUGAAAUGCUUAGAUAUCGCGAAGAACUCCGAUUGCGAAGGCAGCAUACUGGAGGCGAUCUGACGCUGAGGCACGAAAGCGUGGGUAUCGAACAGGAUUAGAUACCCGUGUAGUC